AUUUCACACGUGUUCAUCUAGGGCUGGACGCUUAUAUGUAGAUUAAUCACUGAAACAUUCUUUUUGUAAAAGUUUUUUGUUGUGCCAGUUUUAAAAGCUACUUAGUAGAGUUAAUACAUUAUAAAAUAUUGCGGUGUACAUUUGUUUAUUAUCUCUGGGUACUGAGGUACAGGUACUGUUGGGCAGAUUUUUGAGACUUUUGAUAUGGGAAAAUGACUACAGGACUUUAAUUGGUAUGUAAUGUUGUAGGAAUUGGCAGUUCUAACAAAAAACUUUAGUGGAGCUGAGUUGCAAGAUUUGGUGCGUGCUGCACAGUCCGCGGCAAUGAACCGUCUUAUCAAGGCUGCUAGGAAAGUGGAAGUUGGUGAAUGGAUCAGACUUCCUCCAAGCUCUUAAAAAUGACAUCAAACCCAUUUAAUACUUUCCAAGUGACUGCAUGUGAAAGGUGCAAACCUCAGCUGCUAAUUCUAGGUACAGACAUUAUGGUGUUGCCUCCACGUUACAGGCCUAUGGAAGAAGUGGUGAUGUGCUAGAACAUUUCCUUGAUAGUGGAAUUAUUAACUGGGGUACUCCUGUAAGCAGGAUCCUAGAAGAUGGAAUGUUGUUCAUACAGCAAGCCAGGGCUACAGACACGUCAGGUUUAGUUUCUGUUCUUCUUGAAGGCUCAGCAAACUCUGGAAAGACAGCGCUUGCUGCGCAACUCGCAAAAAACUCGGACUUUCCUUUUGUGAAAGUUUGUACACCAGAAGAAAUGGUUGGCUUCACUGAAUCUGAAAAAUGUUUGCAAAUAAGAAAGGGAAAUGUUAGAAGAUUUGAAGAUGUUGUCAGCAUUUACAGCUGUUCUUCAUGUUCCAAACCUUUCACAAAAAGUUCAUUUAAAGGCUGUUCUUCAACAAUCACGUGUUUUCACAGAGGAGGAUUUGUUAGCGUUAUCUCGGAGAUUUCGUCGACACAGGGUGUUCAUUGGCGUCAAGAAAUUGCUCGCUUUGAUUGACAUGACUCGUCAGACAGAGGAGCCAUACAGAGUUAUGAAAUUCCUUUCUGAACUUGAAGAGGAAGGAGGUUUGAAAAUGCGCUGCUCAAUACAGUAAACACACAUUUCAUGGGUAAGGAGAAAGUUGUAUUUGUGUUCAGUUACUUUCUUCAGUAUCCGUUGUGAGGGAGAUAGAACUGUUAGGAAAAUCAGCAUUGAUUAAAAAAGGAGAAUAAUUCCAGAUAUAAGUAAAUAUUCCAUUCAAUUCUAUAUCGUUGAUGUAUAGUUAAAUGAAAAUAUGUCAUUGAUGUAAAAGUCAUGAUGGGGGUAAUGUGGAGAUAAAUCGCUAUGCAAACUUUUGCUAUAGGCAAAUGUGAGAACCAUAAAUGUAAUGUGUUCCAGUUUUCAUAGUGUGGAAAUUUUUAUGAAAUGUUAAAGAGUUUUUGUCACUGUAGCUGUGGUAAGAAGAAUGCACUCUUGCACUUUCACGCAACCCCCAUCAUAUAUAGAUGAUGUUAUUUAUGAAGAUUGCUGUCUUCUCUGUAAUUGCGUUGUGUAGUCUGGUAGAUUCCACAUUUUCAGAGGUCAUACUGCCUCCAUCAUCAAUGCGAUGAAUUCAUCACCCUGAUGACAAAAGAUCUGUUAGCAAGCUGGUCACUGCACUUGUUGAAGAGGGUGGGGUAAGUGCUACCUAGCACUGUGGGUGGAAACUACACGGGAAUUGCGAUGAUGUGCCAUACAUUAAAAAUAUAUUAAAGGACACUAAUAAAUAUAAUGGCAAUGGAAAUAAAAUUAAAACUGGCAGAACUAAAUGCAUUCAAAAAACAAGGGCAAAUAGAAAUCACUUUUCUGGGAUAAGACAGCUGACUGAGAAAAAACAGAAACAUUUGAUAAGACAAGAAUGGAAGAUCUUUUGAAGAAAGUAAAAAAAUACAUUUUAAAAGAGUAUAACUGUAUUAAGGCAAGCAUGGUUAUCAUAGGUUGAUACCAUACACAGAAAACACACUUCACAUACUGAGACAAAAGGGAAUACAUACAUUUAGACUGGGAUACUGGGAAGAUAAUAUUUACAUUUAAACUUUAAUUACCAUUAAUAAACACAACUGAAAUUCAAAAGAUAGAAAUGCACUGAUAUUAAAUGUCCUCUACUCGCUUUCCUCUUCCCCCAAACCAAAAGAAACAAAAAUUAAACAGCACCUACCUGUCUUAUUUGCAAACAUUUUUCAGAUUCAGUGAAGCCAACCAUUUAUUCUGGUGUACAAACUUUCACAAAAGGAAAGUCCGAGUUUUUUGCAAUCUGCGCAGCAAGAGCUGUCUUUCCAGAAUUUGGUGGGCCUUCAAGAAGUACAGAAACUAAACCUGACGUCUCUGUAGUCCUGGCCUGCUGUAUGAACAACAUUCCUUUGUCUAGGAUCCUGCUUACAGGAGUACCCCAAUUAAUGAUUCCACGAGCAAGGAAAUCUUCCAGCACUUCACCACUUGAAGAUGAAUAUUCAUUGUCCUGAUGCUGGAGGCAGUAUGCCUCUGAAACGUUGGUUAACAUUGACCAGACUACACGGCGCAAUAACAUAGAAGACAGCAAUCUACAGACUCACUGCUGUGAAAACCUCAGAUCCUACGAUGUUAUUUAUAACUGUUAAUUACAUUCCUCUUUCUGUAGUUGACCAAGAGUGUCAUCUGCUCUCUAAAUUACUGUGUUUCAUCUUGAGAAUUAAAUUACAUUUUUAAAUUGAA